rnacentral:rRNA from 1 species
UGCACCUCGGGAGCAGCAGUGAGGAAUAUUGGUCAACGGGCGCGAGCCUGAACCAGCCAAGUCGCGUGAGGGAAGACGGUCCUAUGGAUUGUAAACCUCUUUUGUCGGGGAGCAAAAGACGCCACGCGUGGCGUUCCGAGAGUACCCGAAGAAAAAGCAUCGGCUAACUCCAUGCCAGCAGCCGCGGUAAUACGGGGGAUGCGAGCGUUAUCCGGAUUUAUUGGGGUUAACGGGUGCGCAGGCGGAAGAUCAAGUCAGCUGUAAAAUUGAGAGGCUCAACAUCUUCGAGCCGUUGAAACUGGAUU